rnacentral:rRNA from 1 species
AGUGGCAGACGGGUGAGUAACACGUGGGAACAUACCCUUCGGUUCGGAACAACUCAGGGAAACUUGAGCUAAUACCGGAUACGCCCUUACGGGGAAAGAUUAUUGCCGAAGGAUUGGCCCGCGUCUGAUUAGCUAGUUGGUGAGGUAACGGCUCACCAAGGCGACGAUCAGUAGCUGGUCUGAGAGGAUGAUCAGCCACACUGGGACUGAGACACGGCCCAGACUCCUACGGGAGGCAGCAGUGGGGAAUAUUGGACAAUGGGCGAAAGCCUGAUCCAGCCAUGCCGCGUGAGUGAUGAAGGCCUUAGGGUUGUAAAGCUCUUUCGACGGGGACGAUAAUGACGGUACCCGUAGAAGAAGCCCCGGCUAACUUCGUGCCAGCAGCCGCGGUAAUACGAAGGGGGCUAGCGUUGCUCGGAAUCACUGGGCGUAAAGGGCGCGUAGGCGGCCAUUCAAGUCAGAGGUGAAAGCCCAGGGCUCAACCUUGGAAUUGCCUUUGAUACUGUUUGGCUUGAGACCGGAAGAGGUAAGUGGAACUGCGAGUGUAGAGGUGAAAUUCGUAGAUAUUCGCAAGAACACCAGUGGCGAAGGCGGCUUACUGGUCCGGUUCUGACGCUGAGGCGCGAAAGCGUGGGG